rnacentral:rRNA from 1 species
AAAUUGAAGAGUUUGAUCAUGGCUCAGAUUGAACGCUGGCGGCAGGCCUAACACAUGCAAGUCGAACGGUAACAGGAAGCAGCUUGCUGCUUCGCUGACGAGUGGCGGACGGGUGAGUAAUGUCUGGGAAACUGCCUGAUGGAGGGGGAUAACUACUGGAAACGGUAGCUAAUACCGCAUAACGUCGCAAGACCAAAGAGGGGGACCUUCGGGCCUCUUGCCAUCGGAUGUGCCCAGAUGGGAUUAGCUAGUAGGUGGGGUAACGGCUCACCUAGGCGACGAUCCCUAGCUGGUCUGAGAGGAUGACCAGCCACACUGGAACUGAGACACGGUCCAGACUCCUACGGGAGGCAGCAGUGGGGAAUAUUGCACAAUGGGCGCAAGCCUGAUGCAGCCAUGCCGCGUGUAUGAAGAAGGCCUUCGGGUUGUAAAGUACUUUCAGCGGGGAGGAAGGCGACAGGGUUAAUAACCCUGUCGAUUGACGUUACCCGCAGAAGAAGCACCGGCUAACUCCGUGCCAGCAGCCGCGGUAAUACGGAGGGUGCAAGCGUUAAUCGGAAUUACUGGGCGUAAAGCGCACGCAGGCGGUCUGUCAAGUCGGAUGUGAAAUCCCCGGGCUCAACCUGGGAACUGCAUUCGAAACUGGCAGGCUAGAGUCUUGUAGAGGGGGGUAGAAUUCCAGGUGUAGCGGUGAAAUGCGUAGAGAUCUGGAGGAAUACCGGUGGCGAAG